rnacentral:rRNA from 1 species
GAAUUUUGGACAACGGGGGCAACCCUGAUCCAGCCAUCCCGCGUGUGCGAUGAAGGCCUUCGGGUUGUAAAGCACUUUUGGCAGGGAAGAACAGGCUCUGGCCAAUACCUGGCGCUGCUGACGGUACCGGCAGAAUAACCACCGGCUAACUACGCGCCCGCAGCCGCGGUAAUACGUAGGGUGCAAGAGUUAAUCGGAAUUACUGGGCGUAAAGCGUGAGCAGGCGGUUCGGCAAGAAGGAUGUGAAAUCCCAGGGCUUAACCUUGGAACUGCAUUCUUAACUGCCGGGCUAGAGUAUGUCAGAGGGGGGUAGAAUUCCGCGUGUAGCAGUGAAAUGCGUAGAGAUGCGGAGGAAUACCGAUGGCGAAGGCAGCCCCCUGGGAUAAUACUGACGCUCAUGCACGAAAGCGUGGGGAGCAAAC